ensembl:miRNA
AGUUUUGCAGGUUUGCAUUUCAGCGUAUAUAUGUAUAUAUGGCUGUGCAAAUCCAUGCAAAACUGA